rnacentral:lncRNA from 1 species
ACGAUAAUUAUUUGAUACCUCUGACGAAUCACGAUUUAUAUAUAAGGUAAAAUUUUAACCAAUUUGACGCUCACGGUAGCCGGAAGUGCCCAAUUUUGACGCCUGACGAUAAAGGUCAUUACUAGCCUCAUUAAUAUGUAUUGCAGUGCAAAGUGAGGAAAUGCUACAUUAACAAGUCGAAUUCAAAAUGUUUGAACUAAGGGCUUUUAUUUUGAUUUGUUAGGGUAAAGUUGUGGUUUUGUUCUCAGAACUAAAAAAAAAAAAUACAAAAAAGUCUUCAUUUGUGUAAAAAUGUAGUCAUAGAUGAUCAUGAGUUUCAUUUCUUUUUCUAUUGUGAU